rnacentral:lncRNA from 1 species
UUGUGGGGCAAUGCUGAGCCCCCUGCUGGCUCGCUCCAACACCAGCCAGGCCUCACUCAAUGGCAUAUAUCAAUCGCCUAUUGACUUCAACAACAGCGAGUUCUACGGCUUCUCUGAGUUUUUUUAUUGUACAGAGGAUGUGUUGCGCAUUGGUGGCCGCUACCAUGGGCCAACAUUUGCCAAGGCUGCUCAGCUGGUAGCCCACAAGUAACUUUAGAAAUGGAACAGCUGUGACUGUGGGGAAGGUAGAGAGUUUGCCUCCAAAUUCAUGUUGCACUAUUUCUCUGUGGUUGAUCCAGGAUUACUGUGGCAUGGCUUGGUCGGUACUAACUCAGAGAUUCAAGAAUGGCCUCUUUUCAUCACAUGCAGAUGAGCAUCGACUCAAAUAUCAGUGUUUUAAAUCGGCUUGGAUGUACCAAGUCUUACAUGAAGGAUUCCACUUUCCCUAUGACUACCCAAACCUGCGGACAGCCCAGCUGGUGUAUGACCGAGAGGUUCAGUGGACGCUGGGAGCCAUUCUAUAUAAAACACGAUUCUUACCACUCAGG